GGGGAAUCUUCCGCAAUGGACGAAAGUCUGACGGAGCAACGCCGCGUGAGUGAUGACGGCCUUCGGGUUGUAAAGCUCUGUUAAUCGGGACGAAAGGCCUUCUUGCGAAUAGUUAGAAGGAUUGACGGUACCGGAAUAGAAAGCCACGGCUAACUACGUGCCAGCAGCCGCGGUAAUACGUAGGUGGCAAGCGUUGUCCGGAAUUAUUGGGCGUAAAGCGCGCGCAGGCGGAUUGGUCAGUCUGUCUUAAAAGUUCGGGGCUUAACCCCGUGAUGGGAUGGAAACUGCCAAUCUAGAGUAUCGGAGAGGAAAGUGGAAUUCCUAGUGUAGCGGUGAAAUGCGUAGAUAUUAGGAAGAACACCAGUGGCGAAGGCGACUUUCUGGACGAAAACUGACGCUGAGGCGCGAAAGCCAGGGGAGCGAACGGAAUUAGAUACCCCGGUAGUCCUGGCCGUAAACGAUGGGUACUAGGUGUAGGAGGUAUCGACCCCUUCUGUGCCGGAGUUAACGCAAUAAGUACCCCGCCUGGGGAGUACGACCGCAAGGUUG
rnacentral:rRNA from 1 species